CGGGCACUUUCACUGGUGUUUUGGUCUCCAAGGAAACCAACGCCGACUACGGAGUGUCUGGGAGGACUAAUCUCACAAGUUUCAUGCAUGGCUUUGGAUGCCAUUGUACCCAGAUACCUUCCAGACUUGUAUCUCCAGCCUCGACCUCUUCCCUGAAUUCCAGCCACACCUCCAUCUGCCUACGCAGCCCCACUCAGGUGCCCAACAGCAGCUCUCCUAAUGGGAACAGAAGGCAGCCACUGCCAUUCAAGUUCUCCAUUGUCCCCUUGUGGACAGAAUGUUUUCAGUGGCACUACACAUUGCAGUACACAGAAGACACUACCAUGGCAAAAGUAGCACAGGUGAGCAAGAUGAAGCAGCCCUUCUGUCCUGCAAGUUUUGGUGAUGUGUGUGACAGAGGACCAGUUCUGCCAGCUCCGGCCUGCAUCCCUGACACCAUGAAGCUGCAGUACCAGCUCUGAGCUGCAUACUUCAGACUUAGGAGAAAAAGAAAGAAGCCUCAUUCGUAUGCAAGUUACCACUACUCUAGACAUCUCUGCUGCUCAGGCAGCUGCCAAACAUUGGAUUUCAGUCUUAGAAAAGCAAGACACCUCUCACUGUUUCCUUCUGUGACAGUAAUCCAACAGAAAUAAAUAAAAGCUGGUCUGUUUCCAUGGCCUCAGUGCCCAUCUGGAUUGUUCUGUUCCCACCGAACUUGCCCAGCCCCUGAAGCUCUUGAUUCAAUAAUCUGUCCAAUACAACCUGAGAAAAAUGAAAUUAAUCAUUUGUCCACACACAUUCCGACCAAAUUCUUACAAUACAAAAUAUUGUUAGUUAAAUAGAACCCAAUCCACAAGUCAGAUCUUUUCAAAAUACAGAUAUCUUUAAAGUUAGAGACAAAGCUGAGCAUGGUGUCCAUGCUUAUAAUCCCAGCAGCAUUUGGGAGG